AGAAAUUAAACAAUGUUAGUUUCCCAAGCUAAUGAAUUUUGCUAGCUGAUAGGUGGAGAAGCCCAGAUUUUAAUUCAUUAGGUUUGUCUCUGGAGCCACCUUAGAGGUUGCCAAAAAUCAAUUUUUACUUUUCGAAUUAAAAUUUUAUGUUGGCUCUCCAGAAUGAAAGCAAUGAAUCCGCAAAGGAGUGACUGUUGGAAGAGGAUGUGAAAAGCAGGAAAAGAAAGAGCUUUGAUAUUCGCAGGGCCACAUUUUGUAAAAUUUGUCCAUAGAAAUGUAGGUUGUCUGUCUUGCUAUUUCUCUACAGCAACUAUGAAAAUUGUUACUAGGGUAAAAGGAAGUUAUAAAGAAGUUAGAAUGCAAUUUGUAGCUGUAGAAGAAACAGUAUAGCCAGUGAUUAGAAACAUUUUUUUUUUUUUUAAUUUGAAGACAUGCCUCAAGAUAGAAGAAAAUGAAGGAAAAUAGAAUAACAAGGUCGGGGUAGCAGAUGUAUCUUCGUGGCUGUCGUAGAGACAAAAGGACAAGCGAGUAGCUGGCAGGAAGCCCAGAAACCCAAGGCUGACACUUUGAACAUUCUUUCAUAGCAAGCCUAAAAUCAGGACAUGAAUGAGAGGCCUCCACCAGAAAUGGCUUGAUCUACCUAUAUCUGAUUUACAAACAACCAUCAACUACUGCUUUUCAGGAACACGUGACCUAUUAGCAACGUUCAACAUGUUGAGAAGGUGAGAGGUGUCAUUCUGUUUUUUUUUUAUAAGAUUUUAUUAAUUUAUUCAUAGAGACACAGAGAGAGAGACGGAGAGGCAGAGACAUAGGCAGAGGGAGAAGCAGGCUCCAUGCAGGGAGUCCAACUUGGGACUCCAUCCUGGGUCUCCAGGAUCACACCCCAGGCUGCAGGCGGCGCUAAACCGCUGUGCCACAGGGGCUGCCCUCAUUCUGUUUUCCAUACUUGAAAGUCCUCCUCAUGAAAGUACAGGAUAUCUCCCAGGGAGGUGAUAUAACUGUUUCUGUGGGCCCUAUUUCUUUCACAUUUGUCCCUUCCCCAAGUUUUUGAUUGGAUUAUUUUCUUAACAUGUUU
rnacentral:lncRNA from 12 species